rnacentral:lncRNA from 1 species
UGUAAUGGUUGUGGUGACGUGAAAGACGAACGGCAGAGAAGUUGGGAAAAGAGAAAUAGAUCGUAGCCGGCGAAGAGACGAAAAGGAAAAUCAGAGAAGAAGAGGAAGGUUUCUAGCGGUGGAGAGGAAGAAGGAUCGUGAGAGGGCUGUGAAGGAAGUGAGGCAAAAUUAGGGUUUCAAAUCAAUUGUAGUGAAGAAGAUUGAGCACGCGUAUGUUUU